AUUGAACGCUGGCGGCAUGCCUUACACAUGCAAGUCGAACGGCAGCAUAGGAGCUUGCUCCUGAUGGCGAGUGGCGAACGGGUGAGUAAUAUAUCGGAACGUGCCCUAGAGUGGGGGAUAACUAGUCGAAAGACUAGCUAAUACCGCAUACGAUCUACGGAUGAAAGUGGGGGAUCGCAAGACCUCAUGCUCCUGGAGCGGCCGAUAUCUGAUUAGCUAGUUGGUGGGGUAAAAGCCUACCAAGGCGACGAUCAGUAGCUGGUCUGAGAGGACGACCAGCCACACUGGGACUGAGACACGGCCCAGACUCCUACGGGAGGCAGCAGUGGGGAAUUUUGGACAAUGGGGGCAACCCUGAUCCAGCAAUGCCGCGUGAGUGAAGAAGGCCUUCGGGUUGUAAAGCUCUUUUGUCAGGGAAGAAACGGUAGUAGCUAAUAUCUAUUACUAAUGACGGUACCUGAAGAAUAAGCACCGGCUAACUACGUGCCAGCCGCCGCGGUAAUAC
rnacentral:rRNA from 1 species